UGAGGAACAUGACCUUCGGCGGGGGAUAGCCGGCCCAACGGCCGGGUAAUACCGCGUACGACCAUUUGGGGACAUCCCCGAGUGGUGAAAGCAGCAAUGCGCCGAUGGAGUGCCUCGCGGCCUAUCAGCUAGUUGGUGGGGUAACGGCUCACCAAGGCAACGACGGGUAGCUGGUCUGAGAGGAUGGCCAGCCACAUUGGGACUGAGACACGGCCCAGACCUCCGUACGGGGAGCA
rnacentral:rRNA from 1 species